rnacentral:rRNA from 1 species
GACGAACGCUGGCGGCGUGCCUAAUACAUGCAAGUUGAGCGAUGAAGCUUGGUGCUUGCACCAAUUUGAAGAGCAGCGAACGGGUGAGUAACGCGUGGGGAAUCUGCCUUUGAGCGGGGGACAACAUUUGGAAACGAAUGCUAAUACCGCAUAACAACUUUAAACAUAAGUUUUAAGUUUGAAAGAUGCAAUUGCAUCACUCAAAGAAGAUCCCGCGUUGUAUUAGCUAGUUGGUGAGGUAAAGGCUCACCAAGGCGAUGAUACAUAGCCGACCUGAGAGGGGAAUCGGCCACAUUGGGACUGGGACACGGCCCAAACUCCUACGGGAGGCAGCAGUAGGGAAUCUUCGGCAAUGGACGAAAGUCUGACCGAGCAACGCCGCGUGAGGGAAGAAGGUUUUCGGAUCGUAAAACUCUGUUGGUAGAGAAGAACGUUGGUGAGAGUGGAAAGCUCAUCAAGUGACGGUAACUACCCAGAAAGGGACGGCUAACUACGUG